rnacentral:misc_RNA from 1 species
GGCUGACCCAGGGCAUUUGAAAUACUAAAUAACUGUUACAAUUGGAAUCUAGUCAUUGAAGUAGAAAAACAUAUUUGUGCUAUAGAGCAUAUGAAAUGGGUCUAUUUCUUUCAUUCAUUACUGUUUGUGCGUGGUGAAAGCUUUUUUCCCCCUUUAGAAUUUUGGAUAGUGGGGAGGGGAGUUUUUCUUUUCUUUUCGGGAAGGGAAAUCAUUGACAUCCUAUAUUGUGAAGCACACACUCAAUUACUAGGAUAUUAACACAAUGGAGGGAUAGCUUUUACCAUAUGCAAAGUGAAAGAAAAAUAAAUUCUUCCAUUUUUAUGUGGCUCAAAAACAUAUCAUGAUGUCG